rnacentral:rRNA from 1 species
GUAAUAGUUAUGAUCUUGAAACUUAAAAAAUUUGGCGGUAUUUUAGUCUAUUCAGAGGAAUUUGUUUUGUAAUUGAUAGCCCGCGUUGGACCUUACUUAAAUUUGUUUAACAGUUUAUAUACCGUCGUUAUCAGAAUAUUUUAUAAGAAUUAAUAAUUUUCUUAAAUUUUGAAUAAAAAUUAUUUCAGAUCAAGGUGUAGCUUAUGUUUAAGGAAUAAUGAAUUACAAUAAAAUUAUUUAAAUGGAUAUUAUUAUGAAAAAUUAAUUGAAAGUGGAUUUGAAAGUAAAAUUAUAUAGAU